GGAAUCCGGAGCGCGGCCCAUUCACACGGCAGCUGGGAGGAACCAAGUGGGCGCCCGGAGGGGGCGGCUCCCGGCUGAGGACCCAACCCAGAGCCUUGCGCUCGCCAGGUGGGCGCCCUUCCGCUGAGCUAAACCCAGCCCCUCCAAUAAAAUAUUGAGAUUCUCUUUCAGUCCUAAAAGAAGAAGAAAUCUGCAUGCCCUCUAAUCCGCCUAACACUUGCUGAAUUCUGAUUGCUUUGUGGAUGGUGAGUUUUGUUUGUUUUAUGAAGAGAGAUCCACUCAGAAAUCUCAGCAGGACUCAGUAUGUAGCUACAAUUUAAUAGAACUGCUUUCCUGAAUUUACUUUUAUGGCUAUCUUCUAUCAAGGCAAAUGAGAAUCAUUCUCCAUUUGGAAUAAUUAUAUCCAAGUAUUUUCUUAAACAGACUUGAGUAAAUCACAAAAGAAUAUUGCUAAGGUGGAAAUACAAAUUAGGAUAAUCACUGUAAAAAUUCUUCAAAAAUUUAAAAAUAGAGCAACCCCACUACUAGCUAUGUAUUCAGAGGAAAUGAAAUCAGUAUGUUAAAGAGAUACUUGCACUUUUAUGUUUUCAACAGCCAGGAUAUAGAAUCAACUCCAGUGUCUCACAAGUAUGUGAAUGGAUAAAGAAAAUGUGGCAUAUGUACACAAUAAAAUAUUUUAACAGGCUGGGAUGGUUGGAAGGAGUAUGUGGAGAGAUGGUAGAGUAAGUCUGUAGUGUCUGUGCCGAAAUAUUUUUGAAAAUUCUACAAGAAGACUUACAAAGUGAUAUGCAACGUAAGUCAACUGUAUUUGGUCAUUCCCCAACGUAUGUAUAUUAUACUUUAAAAUGUAUUGUGCAUG